AAAUAGAAACAGAAUGAAACGAAAUAGAGAGCAGGGGAGAAAAAGAAAGAAAGAAAGGGAGAAAAGAGAAAAUUUAAGGUUUGAAGCUUUAAGCUUUAAUAGGUUAAGUAAAGAUAGUACGUUGAAUCAGUAUCCCAGGACGAUACCGAAUUCAUUAAGGUAAAGUAUGUUGAGUAUUGAUAAUAGCAUGUACCCAGGAUGUUUAAUGAGAGUCACUUAGGUUGUAAAAGUAUUGAUGAAAUAAGUAACUUAUGGUUGGUAACGAUAUAUAGUAUGAAUUUUGAAAUUUACUAAAAA